rnacentral:rRNA from 1 species
UACGUAGGGGGCAAGCGUUGUCCGGAAUCAUUGGGCGUAAAGCGCGUGUAGGCGGCUCGGUAAGUCCGCUCUGAAAGUCCAAGGCUCAACCUUGGGAUGCGGGUGGAUACUGCCGGGCUCGAGUCCGGAAGAGGCGAGUGGAAUUCCUGGUGUAGCGGUGAAAUGCGCAGAUAUCAGGAGGAACACCAAUGCGAAGGCAGCUCGCUGGGACGUGACUGACGCUGAGACGCGAAAGCGUGGGGAGCAAACAGG